ensembl:lncRNA
UUUUUGCUCUUCCUCCUGCUCUCUGCUCUGCAGUCGCCAUGCGACCUCCAGGAAGACAGGACACAUUCUGCCUGAGUGCUCCAAAGAUAAGUCUUAUGAUUAUGGUUGAUAAUUGAGACUGAGCUAGCACACGAGAAAUCCUAGUCAUUGGCCAAGCAGCAUUUGUACCUAAUAUAAGUCUCUGUGUGUUACUUGGGACCUUAACGUAGCAGCGGGCAGAACUCGGGUGGCCUGGCGGAAAGCACCCACGUGGCAGCAGGGCUUGGGUGGCUUCUUGGCAGAAAGACUUAUUGUUUCACAGUGUCACUUCAAAAGCCACAGAACCAUAUAUGCAGAUCUCACUGAGGUCCUUAGUUAGUACUUCUCUGUCAUCCCUGAACACCUCACACGGCAGUACCAGUGGUUAAAUGCAAGACUUGUAGGCAGGCAAGUGCUCUACCUCUGGGCAAACCCACCGGCCUCUUUACACUUAGAUUUGGAGGACACCGGACAUCUCAGUCAUGUUCCGUGAUGGCUACAAAUUACUGUCAACUUGACUUCAUUCAGAGACAGUCAGACCCCAGGCUCUGGCCUUGUGAGUGGAUUAAUCCACUGAUGGAUUUAAACUAUGAUACCAAAUCCGGGGGCGGGGCGGGGGAGGCAGGUGGUGGGGCCUAGGAGACAGAGACAGAAGUGCAUGCUGGGGAAUGUGGCUUUGGGGGCCAACUCUCACCCUGGCUUCUUCCUGCAUUCUUUCCCUUGGCUUCUUGUCCACCAUGAAGAGCAGGCUUCCUGUCCUCUGCCAAAGUCUCCAGUGGCCAUGAUUUUAUACCCAAGUACGUGGGGGUGAAAGGACUGUGGAAAAGCCCUCUGAAACUGUAAGUCAAGCAGUAGGGUCCCUGGAGUUAACAGGACAGCAGCACACGGUAACUAAAUACCUUCAAAUACAGACCUGCACUGUUAUGGGAUCAGUCUCCACAGUCUUCCACGGCCCCAGGAUAACCUGCUUUGGCUGCCGUGUUUCCCCCAGCAUGAUGGACUGUACCCUCUACACUGUGAGCCGAGACAAAACUGCGCUCAAGUUGUUUCUGUCAGCUAUUACGUCACAGCCAUGCGAAAAUGCCACAAUAGCGAAAAUGCCACCAUAGUGUACGUGCUGAGCAGCAGCUAAGGCCUGAGUGCCUGUGACCAUUUCAGUGUCAUCAUUUGCUGAGGAUACAGGAGCCAUCUCCAUCUUAUAGCCGGAGAAACAGGCUCAGAGAGGCUGAGUAACUUGUCCAAGGUCGCACAGUUCUUAAAAGAAUGAGGCUCUGAUUUCUCUUUAACAUCUUCCUCAUUUGUGAAGCCAGAUCCCUGGUGAGCCAAGAACAGAACAAAGCAGACUUCACACAGGUCAUCGUAUAUAGACUGAAAAAUCGUAUAUUUCAACAAUGCUUGUAUAAGGUUCUGGGAGUACAAGGGUGAUUUUCUCUCUUUUUUGCAAACAUUUGUUAAUGUGCUUUUGUUGUCUGCAUUAGUUUAAAAAAAAUCUAAACAUUUAAAACAUUUCUCUCCGGAGUCGCUUCUGUCAAGAGCACGGCUAAGAUAAUUGUCAUUCAGAGAAGUCUGCUCAGGGGACAAACCAACCAUUCACAGCCGCUCCAAGCACUAUGUCUCCUGUUUCAACUCAGACUGCCAGAAAGGCACUCGGGGCGGGCUCUGCGUCUCUCAGCUUUCAUACAGAGCUCUUUUUUUUUUUUUUAAAUUUUUUUCUUUAACCAAGCCCCAUCUUCUGCUCCCAGUCUCUCUGUCAAAGAUCAAUAGACGAAAUGUUCACAUGAAGACUCUCUGCCAUUUUUCAUAGAACUGCACUGGCAGACACCAUCUGCUGUGUUCUUCACAUCCCUUGCAAGGAUCCAGUGGACAAACUCCUGUUGGAUUCGUAGCUGGGGACACACACACACACACACACACACACACACACACACACGCACGCACGCACGCACGCACGCACGCACGCACGCACACACACACACACACACACACACACACACACACACACACACACACUGUCUUCAUCAACCUUCGAGCUCGGCAAGUGUUUAACCGCGCCUGCCCUACCUCGUGUUGUUUUCACAGAGUCCCGUAAAUUCCCCAGCAUUUAACAAGGACUCAAAGGGUCGUUUGUUGAAUGAGAAGAAGGUUUAUUGACUUGCACAAUGGGUUCUUGCUUCAGGAACAGAGAGUCCGGGGUCCCAAUGGCACAUCACCAGGUUCUGAAUGGAGCACCACCAGGAGGACUCCUUUGGGCUCUGCUCUCGUGUGUUAUUAGCUCCAUUUUCAGGAAGACCAACUUGCUGUGGCAGCAACAGUCACAGUCGUUUGCAAAAUCACUCUCCAGCUAGCACCUCCUCGGUUCAGGUGAAAGACAGCAUCUCCUUGCCCCAGUCCCAGGCAGGACUCUGAUUAGCUGGUUUAGACCGCAGGCCCAUCACACAAACAAUCAAGUUUGGCAAAGGGAAUGAGUUCGUCCCAUUGGCCAGAUGUGGGUCGAGUCCCACCCUGGAACCAAGGCGGGAAGAGUUAGCUGCCAUCCCUCAAAGUCUAGUCCUAAGAGAUCCCAGAGGCCUGCUGGGCGGAAGCACAGACUCCCCGAGUCAUCUGUCUGCCUUGUCUAAGCUGCAAUCCUCUCCCUCUACACUUGGUGCGACUCACCAGAGCCGUCCUGCUUCUGUCCCGAAGGUUGGUGACAUGGAAACCUGCGGCUACUAGAACCAUCCACCCCAAAAGUCCAACCCCACCCAGCCCGGCAGCUGCUUGAUCCUUCACACCUCUCAUCGCAGCUCUGACGUGACACUGUGGAGAAGGAGUUGCACCCAUUUUGCUGCUAAAUAUGUUGAGGCUGAGCCGAACUAAUGAUACCAUUUUUCUGCUUCAAAAAGAGUUUUAAUUUGGGCUGGAGAGAUGGCUCAGAGGUUAAGAGCACCGACUGCUCUUCCAGAGGUCCUGAGUUCAAUUCCCAGCAACCACACGGUGGCUCACAACCAUCCGUAAUGAGAUCUGGCGCCCUCUUCUGGUGUGCAGAUAUACAUGGAAGCAGAAUGUUGUAUACAUAAUAAAUAAAUAAAAUCUUAAAAGAAAGAGUUUUAAUUCUUCUUGUUGUGCCCCCACCAUCCCCCACCGUGCGUGUAGGUGCAUUCUUCUUAGGGUGUGACUGGAGGUCAGAGGACAACUCUGUAGAGACAGGUCCCUCCUUCCACAUUUACACGGGUUCCAAGGAUCACACUCAGGUCUCCAGACAUGUGCAACAAGUGCCUUUAAACGGCUGGGCCCCCUCACUGGCCCAAAUGUCUUUUUCACUUUGGAGACAAGAUCUUACUCUGAGGCCCAGGUUGACCUCAAAUUGACAAUCCUCCUGCCUCAGUGGCCCAAAUGUUGGGAUUAUGACUAUCGGCUACUACUUGAGGGGGUCUGUUCUUUCCUCCCACCCUGUGGGUCCCCGGUUAGACCUCAGCUCAUCAUUGUGGCAGCAGGGGAUUUAGCCUGCUGAGCCAUCUCACUGGCCUCAAGGAUACUUUCCCUAGGACCCUGCAAGGACGCUGGUGGCAGAAUCUGGGUAGAGUUCAGGCUUCCAGCUACUUGGUUCAAAAACAUAGCACGGCUUCAGCAAAGACCAUGAGCACCCACAAACUAAAUGCCUCUACCCAACUUUCCCUUCCAGCCAAGAAGGGUGUCAGGGUGUCCCCAUGGCUUGGGGACACAGAGCUUCUUAGACAGAGUAGGAGCCGUAGCAAGACUCAUGUGUGUUCAGAGACCCUGUGGCCACUUCACAGAAAGCAUGUCCCCCCGUGGGCAUCGGGUUCCAGGAGUUCCUGUUACCAUGCCCCGCUGUGGGCACUGGCACAGGGGCCUGCUGGGUGGGCGCAGAGGGUGCCUCUCCCCAUGAAGUUGCAGAGCCCUACUUGAUCCAAGACGGCACCCUGAAUGCAGCAGUCGUUCAUUAGGGCCCUGCAUUCAUUCAUUUCGUUUUCUUUUUUUUUAACCCCAAUUUAUUUAUUUAUUUAUUAUGUGCAUUGGUGUUUUACUUGCACAUAUGUCUGUGUGGAGGCAUGAGACCCUCUGCAGUAGGAUUACAGGCAGCUGUAGGCUGCCAUGUGGGUGCUGGGAAUUGUACCCAGGUCCUCUGGAAGAACAGUUAGUUCUCCUAACCGCUGGACGGACCAUCUCUUCAGCCCCAACACUCAUUCAUUUUCAUGUCAUCCCGUUUCUUCCUCCUUGCAGGCCCCCGAGGAAGCAGGAUGAGAUGAUGGAGUUAGAAAUUCAACGUGUUCAUCGGAGGUGAUUUCUGUGAAGGAUGCCGGUGGGAGAGAUCAGGCGGAGAGAGCUCUGGUCCCUGGUUGAGACUUGAUGAUGUCACAGGCAAGUUCCAGUGGGGCCCGAAGCCAAAGUGACUCACAAGAUGAGGCCGUCCCUGGGCCCUUGCCUUGCUUCACCACCGGCUGAGGGGUGCUCCGGAAGAGCCUGGCCCAACAGGAAAGCUCCUUGGACUCGACAGUGCUGUUCAAAAGGGACACGUGCCCUUCAUGGAAGCCUCAUGACCAGGCUCAUCUAUGCAGAUGCCAGAGCCCAGGGCCCAGCUCCGCACACUGGCUCCAGAUUGAGUCAGGCUAGUAUGGCGGGGAUGUGGUCCUCAACACUUUGCUCAGGCCAAACCCCAGCAGUGCCUGACUCUCAGCUGCUGAGAUGCUGUCCCCUCUACCAGUCAUGACUCUAGGGGGGUGUUGUCCCUUUAUCCUCCAGGGAGACGGUGACCGGAAUUCAGGAUGCCCAUGUCCACACUGGGCCUGGACGAAAGCAGCCAGAACAACCAUGUCUGCUCUCUGCCUCCGUCUAUUUCCUGCUCUGCCCUUCCUCCCUCUCUCAGACAGCGUGUUACCUUGCAACCCAGGGUUGUCCUUCGCUCCGUGAUCCUCCUGACUCAGCCUCUAGUAUACCGGGAUUACAGUCAUCACAUCUGGGUCUCCACGGCUAUCACAGAACUCCUUUGCAGCGAGAAGCCUGCUGAUGUAGCAGCUCCAAUUUGAACAGUGGUUCAUAAAAAAAACCCACAGCCUUUCCGUGUGUUCCCUUCUCUCGUGGACGCCACAGGGUGUCCCUCCUCCUUCCCACACAGCUUGUGUCACCUGCCUCUGUGCCUUUGAGACAAGCUCAAGGGGUGAUUUGGUGGCUGGGAGUUCAACAACCUCUUCCUAGCGGUCAGUUCCGUUACCUCCCAGGCAAAGAUUCCAGUUUAGGUUUUAAGCUUGAAGAGCCAGGUGUGAUGGUCCCAGCACCCAGGAGGCUAAGAUGGGAAGAUGGAGAUGAAGAUGAGCCAGAACCCAGAGGACAGAGGUGCUAAUGUGGCCUACAAAUGGAAAGUGAAAGAAGCCGGGGUAGGCAUGCUGACUCAGCUGGCAACCUAAGGAUGGAGCCCACGCAGUCUCCACAGUCUCUGGGACAAACACGAUGGAAGGAGAGAAGUGACUCCCUCAGGUUGUCCUUAGACCUCCACAUGUAUGCAGUGGCAUGACCCCCACCCUCUCCCUGUGUCCCCCACACCAAUUACUUAAUUAAAGGGUUUUUUGUUUGUUUGUUUGUUUUUGUUUUUCGAGACAGGGUUUCUCUGUGGCUUUGGAGGCUGUCCUGGAACUCGCUCUUGUAGACCAGGCUGGUCUCGAACUCACAGAGAUCUGCCAGCCUCUGCCUCCCGAGUGCUGGGAUUAAAGGCGUACACCACCAACGCCCGGCAAGGUUUUUUUUUUUUUUUUAAGCCAGUGUAUCUGAUAGGCUUUGCUUACCACCCCAGGCUGGUUUUAGUGUCCCCUCGCCCUUUCCAGCAAAGAGGCCACUCUCUUGCCAUUACACCUCUCAAUGCUCAGAGGUCAGGGCCAGUGUCACUACCUCUGUCCCCUCCCUUGUCCCAGUGUCACUACCACUGAUCCCUGUACUCAACGUAGGCAAAGAGCAGCCAGACCGCUCAAGGGUCCCCCAGCACCUCGAGGUGGCUUGCCCACUGGACUCAAGUACAAUCUGUGCGGCCGCUCUCCCCCUACUCCCCAGCACCCACGGGGAGGGCAGCCGGCAUCGCUGAGUCUCAACCUGGGCUGUGUAUUUUUCAUUAUAUGUGAUUUUAAAUUUACUCUUUGAGAAUGUCAUACAUGCAUACAAUGAAUUUCAAUCAUAUGUAUCCCCUUCCCCUCCUCUAACUCUUCCCAGACUCUCCCAUCUCCCUCCCAAUUUCAUAUCCUAUUUUUUAAAUAACUCACUGAAUCCAAUUAGUGCUGUAUAUAUCUGAAAUGUCUGGAGCUACCCACUGGAACAUGGUCAGACUACCAGGGACCGCACCCGUAAAGAAAACGGGUUCUAUCUCCCCUGGCAAUCACUGCACACUUAAACAAAUUGUAAUGCCAUAAACUCAUUCUCAAGAUUUGUCUGGCACCAGGC